CCCUCUAUUGAGUGUAUGUUUUUGUCUCUGGAGGAGUAUGGGAGUGGGAUGAGCAGGUCCAAGUCUCCAUAUCCCUCACCUACUUCUUUCUUUCUCCCUCCUCACCCGUUCCCUCCAUUACCUCCAUCUUCCAUACUGACGGAUCCUGAGGGUCCUGCCAGUGCUUAAGUGGCUGUGAGUAAGGAAGUAAAAGAAAAGCAAACACAACUGAUCAAUGAAUUCAGGACAAGGUGUGCCAUGUGUAACAGCUGUGGACCUCCCACCAUAUGAACAGGGAAGGAAAAGCAGUCAACACAACUAUACAGUACACAGAGGAAAAGAUAUUUGUGGUGGGAGACACUGACUCUGGGAACACUCCAUUUACCAAAGGCUCGCUCUCUGUGGAAAUGCAUCUAAUCUCAGAACACUUAGAGGAAAAAUACUUGUGGAAGGAGAUAGUCUUUCUGGGAACAUUCCAGUUACUACAGGCUUACUCUCUGGGGAAGCAUAUUCACUCUCUGAACACUCAGCAGACGAGACAUUUGGGGCUGAAGACACAUGUUCUGAUCUUGCUUUCUGGGGAAACACAUCUACUCUCUGAAGACUCAGAGGAAAAGAUACUUGUGGCAGGAGACACCCAUUCUGGAACAUUCCAGUUACUACAGGCUUGCUCUCUACAGAAACACAUUGAGAGAAAAAUGGAUAUUUAAUGAAAUAUAUGCCUUUGAAGACUUCCUGAUGAAAAGAACAGAAAUAAUGAGAAAAUAUGGCUUUCAAAUACAAGACUCAAAAGAAGCAUUAAAAGGCAAAUAUAAAAGAGAAAUCAUAAGCUAUUCAAUAAGAUUCAGCUGUGUACUUUUCCAUAAGAGAAAAUGAUAUGCAUAUCUUCUAAUAAUUUUAUCAUUAUUCGAGUAGGUAGAAGGAUUCUACCUAGAAAGUGGGUUUGGGGAGUGAGCCAAUUAGGUGGAGAUGAUGUAAAACAAAUGGAUAGUGGAAAAAUACAGAUGUCCUAGGAGAAGGUAGAAAGGAGUUAAAGAAUGGGGGAAAUAUUAUCACAUAAAAUAGGUGUGCAAGGAAGUUUUUUCAUUGGAGUAGAAAAUUGGGGAUGUGGGAAUGGUCAACCAAUGUUUGAACCUCCCUCCCAUCUAAAUUGGUUCAAAAAGGAAAAUAUGUAUUUACUCAAUUAGUCAUAAAAAUCUAUCUUACCCUACAGGUAAGUAAGGUAAAGGGACAAGUGAAAGAAAAAAUAGUCAUAAAAGGUAGGCAGACAAAAGAAAGCAGUGGUCAUAUGCAAAUUAGGCAUUAGAGGAGGGACAGGAUAAAAAGAGAGAGAAUGAGAAACAGACAGAGAUAGGAUGGAGGGAAAUGAAUAGUUAGUCAUCAUAACUGUGUGAAUGGAAUGAAUUAACUCAUAAAAUGAAAGUAGUAAAAUGGAUUAGAAAUCAGAAUAGAAUCUUAAAAGUUAGAUAUGAAAGACCUCUGGAGAAAACUGAAUGGGUAUAGAAAGGAGUACAGACUAAUGUUCCUUGAUGUAAAUUCAUAUUAUGCAACUUAGACUUUAUGUAAGGAAUUCUAUAAGAAAUCUGCAUUCCCAAGAAAACACCCAUGUGAACUUUACUACUCAGUACUGGGAUCUCUUUCUCUUCCUGACCCUUGGCGUAGAACUCUGUCAGUUCCUAUCCCCAACCUCCCCUCUCCAAAAAAAAAAUCCUCCAGGUUGAACCAGAAGAUGGGAGCUAGACAGACAUCUACCAACACUGCUGGAUCAGGACUUGGCUUGACACCUCCAGUGCUGAAAAAUGAGACCUUGGUUUCAGUCUGCCUACCUACCAGAGAGUUUGGUCUCUGCUUUUUGGCAUUUUGUCCAUCCUCAUUGGAGUAAUGUUAAAAAGAAUUCUCUUCUUUCAGUCUGUAAAUCACAGACAUAUGCAGGUUUAGGGACAGUGCCCUCUUUCUGUUUUCCAACAAGGUACAUGGAAACGCCCCUUUCACCAGGUGCUGAUUAAAACCAGAAUGAAAAACAAAUAUACCAUUAAAUUAAAAGACUCCAAAUGAAGGAGAUGAUAUGGAGAAGGGGAGGGGAAAAUUUCCUAGACUGUCUCCUCUCUCCCAAGCCCUGAGGCCAAGAUGACGAUGGGAAGAAGGGAGAGAGGAAAGAUGGCAAAGUCCACAUGAGGGGGGGAAGGAGGGAGUGUCCCUAAAGACUUCUCCCUAAUGGCCUCCACUGAACCCCACUCACCCCACAACACCUGUCCCCCAAGCCCCAGAUCUCCAGACAGAAGCUUGGGCUGUAAGAUGACCCCAGGCAGCAGAAGCCCUGGAGGAGCAGGUGCACAUGAAUACACACACAUACACAUAAAUACACACAUACACACUCUCAGAUACACAUGAUCCUACCUACACACACAAAACAUGCAUAAACAAAGUUAUUAAUACUCCCACGAACCACCCAACCAUGCCCACACAAAUCCCCAUGGGCA